rnacentral:rRNA from 1 species
AACGAACGCUGGCGGCAUGCCUAACACAUGCAAGUCGAACGAGACCUUCGGGUCUAGUGGCGCACGGGUGCGUAACGCGUGGGAACCUGCCUUUAGGUUCGGAAUAACUCCCCGAAAGGGGUGCUAAUACCGGAUAAUGUCUUCGGACCAAAGAUUUAUCGCCUUUAGAUGGGCCCGCGUAGGAUUAGCUAGUUGGUGGGGUAAAGGCCUACCAAGGCGACGAUCCUUAGCUGGUCUGAGAGGAUGAUCAGCCACACUGGGACUGAGACACGGCCCAGACUCCUACGGGAGGCAGCAGUGGGGAAUAUUGGACAAUGGGCGAAAGCCUGAUCCAGCAAUGCCGCGUGAGUGAUGAAGGCCUUAGGGUUGUAAAGCUCUUUUACCAGGGAUGAUAAUGACAGUACCUGGAGAAUAAGCUCCGGCUAACUCCGUGCCAGCCGCCGCAGUAACAC